AGAACGAACGCUGGCGGCAUGCCUAAUACAUGCAAGUCGAACGAACACUUCGGUGUUAGUGGCGCACGGGUGCGUAACGCGUGGGAAUCUGCCCUUGGGUUCGGAAUAACAGUCGGAAACGACUGCUAAUACCGGAUGAUAUCGAAAGAUCAAAGAUUUAUCGCCCAGGGAUGAGCCCGCGUAGGAUUAGCUAGUUGGUGAGGUAAAGGCUCACCAAGGCGACGAUCCUUAGCUGGUCUGAGAGGAUGAUCAGCCACACUGGGACUGAGACACGGCCCAGACUCCUACGGGAGCAGCAGUAGGGAAUAUUGGAACAA
rnacentral:rRNA from 1 species